rnacentral:rRNA from 1 species
UACGUAGGGUGCGAGCGUUGUCCGGAAUUAUUGGGCGUAAAGAGCUCGUAGGCGGUUUGUUGCGUCGGCCGUGAAAAACCUGCAGCUUAACUGUGGGCGUGCGGUCGAUACGGGCAUCACUGGAGUUCGGCAGGGGAGACUGGAAUUCCUGGUGUAGCGGUGAAAUGCGCAGAUAUCAGGAGGAACACCAAUAGCGAAGGCAGCUCGCUGGGACGAAACUGACGCUAAGGCGCGAAAGCGUGGGGAGCAAACAGG